rnacentral:rRNA from 1 species
UACGUAGGCAGCGAGCGUUGUUCGGAGUUACUGGGCGUAAAGGGUGUGUAGGCGGUUCUUUAAGUUUAGUGUGAAAUCCCUCGGCUCAACUGAGGAAUGGCACGGGAAACUGACGGGCUUGAGUUCGGGAGAGGGAAGCGGAAUUCCGGGUGUAGUGGUGAAAUGCGUAGAUAUCCGGAGGAACACCGGUGGCGAAGGCGGCUUCCUGGACCGACACUGACGCUGAGGCGCGAAAGCUAGGGGAGCAAACGGG